rnacentral:rRNA from 1 species
AACGAACGCUGGCGGCAGGCCUAACACAUGCAAGUCGAACGCUGUAGCAAUACAGAGUGGCAGACGGGUGAGUAACACGUGGGAACGUACCUUUCGGUUCGGAAUAACUCAGGGAACUUGAGCUAAUACCGGAUACGUGCGAGAGCAGAAAGAUUUAUCGCCGAAAGAUCGGCCCGCGUCCGAUUAGCUUGUUGGUGAGGUAAUGGCUCACCAAGGCGACGAUCGGUAGCUGGUCUGAGAGGAUGAUCAGCCACACUGGGACUGAGACACGGCCCAGACUCCUACGGGAGGCAGCAGUGGGGAAUAUUGGACAAUGGGCGAAAGCCUGAUCCAGCCAUGCCGCGUGAGUGAUGAAGGCCCUAGGGUUGUAAAGCUCUUUCGCCAGGGACGGAUAAAUGACGGUACCUGGAUAAGAAGCCCCGGCUAACUUCGUGCCAGCAGCCGCGGU